UGUAUCACGACAGUGGAUCACUUGUUACUGGGUUAAAUCGCCGUGGUAACUUAUGCUGAACACCUAACUUGAUCGGAAGCAGGUUAUGUUGGAGAUUAGAGAUCAACCGGUGUUAAAGCACCGCCUACUGACCAAUCAAUACUCGGUUGAUAACGGCGUCACCGUUGUCAGGAGAUCCGGUGGAGCUCGGUGCGCUAAGAGAGAGAGAGGUGAGCUCGUUAAGGCUUAACUAAUCAGAGAGCGGUAACCCAAUAAACAUUCCCUGAUGGGUAAUUUUAUGAAAGAUAUAGAUUUUAAGCGGAGGGUAUUACUUAUAAGCUAUCUGUCGGCUUCUUGAGCAGUGUGUUGCCAAUGGGCACAUCGGUUUGAAUUACGUUUUUAUAUUUUUUAUUUUCUCUCACAAUGGCUUACCACUGCCAGGGUUGCAACUGAAAUAAUUGGCUAGAGCAACGAUGUAAUUAUUAUGGUCAGAUCUUGUGCCUGACCGAUGGAGAAGUGAUAUCGAUAAGUGCUAUUUUGCCUUUUGUCAGCUUUCCUUCCUGUUUCAGAAAGCAGUGACUGUAUUACAUUUUGCCUAUAAAACCCUGUCUGUGUAGAAUUAUAGUUUUGCUCUUCUUAUGUAAAAUAUGCGGCUCUGGUAAAUGUCUGCAAUUGGUCGUGCUGUGCAAACACUGCCUCUUUUAUGUGAACAUGCGCAUCGCUGGAUUGGGGAACUCUGGGUUGAUUGAACUAGUUGUUAACCACCGAUGAGACACAGGUUUUGAUGGGCCGCGGUUGUUAGGGUUGCUGAAGCCGGGUAACUGAAAGAAAUCCCGGGCAUGUUGAUCUUGAUUCGUAGUACAGGCCUCUGGUGUGAAACCAAACCAAGCACACACAGGGGAGGUGAGAAUGCUGUGUGGACUAGUCAGACCCUCCUCCACAGCGCCGUGGAGGAAGGUCUGACAAUGCAAGACUAGAUAUUGUCAAUCUGUGCUUUCCAAUCUCUUCCUUCCAAGUG